rnacentral:rRNA from 1 species
UACGAAGGGGGCUAGCGUUGCUCAGCCUUCCUGUUCUUCCCGCGCACGUAGGCGGCUCUUUAAGUCGGGGGUGAAAUCCUGGAGCUCAACUCCAGAACUGCCUUCGAUACUGAAGAGCUCGAGUCCGGGAGAGGUGAGUGGAACUGCGAGUGUAGAGGUGAAAUUCGUAGAUAUUCGCAAGAACACCAGUGGCGAAGGCGGCUCACUGGCCCGGUACUGACGCUGAGGUGCGAAAGCGUGGGGAGCAAACGGG